AAGUCGAACGAUGAAGGAGGAGCUUGCUCCUCCGGAUUAGUGGCGAACGGGUGAGUAAUACGUGAGCAAUGUGCCCUUGACUCUGGGAUAAGCGCUGGAAACGGCGUCUAAUACCGGAUACGACCCUCGGAGGCAUCUCCUGAUGGUGGAAAGAACUUCGGUCAAGGAUCAGCUCACGGCCUAUCAGCUAGUUGGUGAGGUAACGGCUCACCAAGGCGACGACGGGUAGCCGGCCUGAGAGGGUGACCGGCCACACUGGGACUGAGACACGGCCCAGACUCCUACGGGAGGCAGCAGUGGGGAAUAUUGCACAAUGGGCGCAAGCCUGAUGCAGCAACGCCGCGUGAGGGACGAAGGCCUUCGGGUUGUAAACCUCUUUUAGCAGGGAAGAAGCGAAAGUGACGGUACCUGCAGAAAAAGCACCGGCUAACUACGUGCCAGCAGCCGCGGUAAUACGUAGGGUGCAAGCGUUGUCCGGAAUUAUUGGGCGUAAAGAGCUCGUAGGCGGUUUGUCGCGU
rnacentral:rRNA from 1 species